AAAAUGGGUAAAGGAAGUCAGCGUAAAUGCAGAUGCUCCAGUGGAUAGCGCGAGCUUCAAACCAAAUGCUAUUGCGAGAUUGCUUUCAGGCAUUGGCACAGUGAAUGGCAGCUGAAAAAUUUUGACCCUUGUUUCUGGAAGUGAAAUGUUAGAUGGUUUGAUGAAGUGCCACAGAGAUUAUCGCUUAAAGAAUGCGUGCAGGCCAACCACCAACACAAGAUAUUAAAAA